rnacentral:sRNA from 1 species
ACUUGGUCUUGGAGUCAGCUUUAUCUACCAUGUAAUCACAAUCAUUACUUUCUUUUCGUUUGAAGUGGGAAGAUUGUGAAUGUAGAGGUGGUGGAUGGAGGACUGAGUUGCUCAAGCGGCGUUCUAGUUAGAGCUGUCAAUUGGGCAGGCCGCCCAUGGGCUUGCCCAGUCCAAAUGCAUAUGGAUGGGUUAUAUUCCGGACCAUAAAACAAAUAGUCCAAUUGGGCAUAUGAUCAGUUUUGUCCGCAGAUAAUAUGGGCUUGACCAUAUGGACAAUGGGUUACCCAUGGGCAUGAAUUGAGUCAAUAAACAUAUUUUCAUUUUAAUCAUAUUUUU